AGAGUUUGAUCCUGGCUCAGAUUGAACGCUGGCGGCAUGCUUUACACAUGCAAGUCGAACGGCAGCACAGGGAGCUUGCUCCCGGGUGGCGAGUGGCGCACGGGUGAGUAAUACAUCGGAACGUGUCCUGUUGUGGGGGAUAACUGCUCGAAAGGGUGGCUAAUACCGCAUGAGACCUGAGGGUGAAAGCGGGGGAUCGCAAGACCUCGCGCAAUUGGAGCGGCCGAUGCCCGAUUAGCUAGUUGGUGAGGUAAAGGCUCACCAAGGCGACGAUCGGUAGCUGGUCUGAGAGGACGACCAGCCACACUGGGACUGAGACACGGCCCAGACUCCUACGGGAGGCAGCAGUGGGGAAUUUUGGACAAUGGGGGCAACCCUGAUCCAGCCAUGCCGCGUGCAGGAUGAAGGCCUUCGGGUUGUAAACUGCUUUUGUCAGGGACGAAAAGGACCGUGUUAAUACCAUGGUCUGCUGACGGUACCUGAAGAAUAAGCACCGGCUAACUACGUGCCAGCAGCCGCGGUAAUACGUAGGGUGCAAGCGUUAUCCGGAAUUAUUGGGCGUAAAGGGCUCGUAGGCGGUUCGUCGCGUCCGGUGUGAAAGUCCAUCGCUUAACGGUGGAUCCGCGCCGGGUACGGGCGGGCUUGAGUGCGGUAGGGGAGACUGGAAUUCCCGGUGUAACGGUGGAAUGUGUAGAUAUCGGGAAGAACACCAAUGGCGAAGGCAGGUCUCUGGGCCGUUACUGACGCUGAGGAGCGAAAGCGUGGGGAGCGAACAGGAUUAGAUACCCUGGUAGUCCACGCCGUAAACGGUGGAUGCUGGAUGUGGGGCCCGUUCCACGGGUUCCGUGUCGGAGCUAACGCGUUAAGCAUCCCGCCUGGGGAGUACGGCCGCAAGGCUAAAACUCAAAGAAAUUGACGGGGGCCCGCACAAGCGGCGGAGCAUGCGGAUUAAUUCGAUGCAACGCGAAGAACCUUACCUGGGCUUGACAUGUAAUGAACAACAUGUGAAAGCAUGCGACUCUUCGGAGGCGUUACACAGGUGCUGCAUGGCUGUCGAGAU
rnacentral:rRNA from 1 species